rnacentral:tRNA from 1 species
AUCCGCCCGGCGGGCGGCGCUGCCAUCCGUCCGCCGGGCGGAUCCGAUGUCCGUCCGCCGGGUGGAUUCGCUGUCCGUCCGGCGGUCGGAUCC